AAGCGAAACGCCCCCACGUGGGGCGUCUGCUGGGCGUGGUGGUCCAGCACUGAUGAGCAGCCCGGA
rfam:Halomonas sp. &apos;Soap Lake #7&apos;, complete genome.